rnacentral:lncRNA from 1 species
GGAAAGCAAGGCAGUCCUUGCUGACUGGGCACCCACGAGCCUGCUGUGUCUGAAUGCUGGCUCACCUAGAGUUGGGGGGCUCAGGGACAGGACUAAUUCUGGAACCAGACUGCCUGGGUUCACACUCUGGUGGUGUUACCUUCUGCCUACGUGGUUUUAACCUCUCUGUGCUCUGGUUUCAUCAGUUGUGAAUUGGGGCUAAUGGUUCCUACCUAACAGGUGUGAGGAUUAGAUAAAUGGAUACAUGGAGAGGGCAAGUGGUCAGUGCCAUGUAAGUGUCAGCCAAAGAUGAUGGUGACAAUGGUGGUGAAGACUGUAGUGAUGGUGAUGAUGACGGUGAACUGUAGUGAUGGUGAUGAUGAUGGUGAAGACUGUAGUGAUGGUGAUGAUGGUGAAGACUACUGUAGUGAUGGUGAUGAUGAUGGUGAAGACUAUAGUGAUGGUGAUGAUGGUAGUAAAGACUGUAGUGAUGGUGGUGAUGAUGAUGGCCCUCACCAUCUUGGCUGUACCACGUCCAGUUUGCUGUCAGGACACAGCCUGAGGAUGCCAGACCUCCAUGUUGCAGAACCACCUGACUUUUACUAUGGAAUACACGUGGACUGUGAA